CUUGUGUUCCAUCACAAGUAGCCUGGGGACACAUGCAUACCGGGUAACUGGUUUGUGUGAAGCUGUCCCGACAAUAUAGCCUGUAAAGGAUUCUCGUGAGAGGAUGCUGUCAUGCCAGCG
rnacentral:ncRNA from 1 species